GUGCUCGCUUCAGCAGCAUAUAUACUAAAAUUGGAAUGAUACAGAGAAGAUUAGCAUGGCCCCUGCACAAGGAUGACUAACACACAAAUUCGUGAAGCAGUCCAUAUGCUU